CCCCUCAAACCCAGCCUCAGCCAGGACAAGAGCUCCUGAAUCAACCCUCCAUCCACCCCUCAACCUCAACCCCAGCCUCGGCCAGGACAAGAGCUCCUGAAUCGACCCUCCAUCCACCCCUCAACCCCAGCCUCAGCCAGGAUAAGAGGUCCUGAAUCGACCCUCCAUCCACCCCUCAACCCCAGCCUCAGCCAGGAUAAGAGCUCCUGAUGCAGAGAAACACCAAAACCAUUUUAAUGCUUUCUCUCUUUGUAUUAUUCUGAGAUCAGUGUUCUUCAUGAUAAUGAACCAGCUGUGUAGUGCUAGGGCAAAAAACUAAAUGUGCACUCAGUGGGGGCCCCUGGACCAAGUUUGGGAAACCCUGCCCUAGAGAAGAACCGUAUAGACAGGAGAUUUAGCAACUCUUGGAGGACAAUCGAAUUAAAUAAAAUAAAUUAAAUAUAUUGUUAAAAGUGGAACCAACACGUUUCAGCUUUUGGCCUUUAAACAAAGAUUAUUUAAUUGAAUUCCAAUGUCCUCCCAAGAGUUGCUAUAUCUCCUCUCUACUUCAGUUUGCUCCUCAAUUCAUGCACCUUGGUUGGAGAGCGAGGUAGCUGCAGUGCUCCCUUCCCUAGAACAGAACAGUGCCUCAGCCUACAGGACAAGCCAGCUAGACACACCGACGGGACAUAUUUUUCAUAGAUCCUGGAUAUGAUUGUGUUUCUGAAUUCUCAUUUACUGCAAUUGUCAAUGUUCCAGGGGGAACUUUUCUUGGAAAUGUGAGCAAGCGCCAUAUUCAAACACUUUCCCCUCAAUCAAAAGGAAAUAAGAUUAAAGUGCAUAUAUAACAUUAUUCCAGCUGUGUAAGAGCAUUGGAAUGUUACAAUAUCAAAAAGUAACAGUAGUAUUCUAUUUGAUUUGAAAUAUGUUGAUAUGCAAAGCCAACACUUCAGUAUAAAGGUAGCUGUGUUUUUUGAUGGUGAAUAUGGAAUGAUGUCCAUACUAAAAGUAGGCAGUUAUAAUAACACUAUGUUUUCAAAAGGUUCUCCAUGUAUGUACCGUCAAAAUAUGAACUAAAGUGUUGGGGUCGGGGUGAGGGCUUUUAUGUAGAUUUUCAAUGCAAUCAAAUUGUGUAGCAAUCCUGUUUUAUAAAGAUUUUGCAUUGCCAAUAAAUGAAUGUGGCAAAUAUCCAUAACUUCUUUGGGGGGGGGGGGGUGAUUGUCAAACAAUUCUGUUCAACCAUGGAUCUUGCAUCAAUAAUUUAGUUAUAGAUUAUUACAUCCAAGUUAGGUCAUAUCAAUGUCCCAUUGGAAGCUGUAUGUGUGGAAUGUGCCUUAAAGGACUAUAACAUUUAAGAUACAUUGUCCUGUCCCUUUAAAACCCACAACAUUAACCUUGCCCCUGCCUCCCCCCCGGAGUAGACUCCAUUCCAUGAAGACCAAAGGGAGGGAAGAGUUAAUUGCACCUAGAUCCCCCUUCCCCUCUCAUGUCUUGUGCCUUGGGGGAUGGUGGAUGGAAGGACCAGUGGCGUGGCUAAUACCAGAGCUUUGGACAGAUGACCUCAGCUGCAGCAGAUGGUGACCUCAUCCCGCUUGCCUUCCGGGGAUCCUUCCAUUCCUUCAGUAGUAGUAGGCACACAGAUAAAAGAGCAGAUGACCAUCUGGGCCCUGCCUGCCUUCUGCCUGGGUGCUCAUGACAAUAGCACCCCCUCUCCAAGUGUGGUGUGUAAGUGUGGGGGUCGUUGUGGCAGUCAUUGUGGUGCUUUUGGAGGUGGGUGAGGGGAGAGGAGAGAAGUGUUGCUAUAGGGACACUGCUGGGUUCUAGAGCUUUGUAGAGGUCCGGUUGACUGGUCUUACUGGUCAUUGUGAUAAGACGGGCUUGGUAUUCUGACCAACAAAGAGGGAAAUAACAGCUCGUGCUGCUCCACAAACACAUCCUUUAUCACGCCUGUGAUCGCUACUAUGUUUCAAUGUUGGUCUAUGAUAAAUUCAGAAUUGUCCUCAUAUUCUGGGUAGAGAGACAAAUAAACCCCUAUGCUACUGCACUAAUUGGCAUUGAAUCAACAACAUUUUAUUUAUUGAUUUUAAUUUUUUACCUUUAUUUAACCAGGCAAGUCAGUUAAGAACACAUUCUUAUUUUCAAUGACUGCCUAGGAACAGGGGCAGAACGACAGAUUUGUACCUUGUCAGCUCGGGGGUUUGAACUUACAACCUUCCGGUUACUAGUCCAAUG
ensembl:lncRNA